ensembl:lncRNA
GACAGCUGGUCCAAGCGUCCCUGCUGGAUGCAACGAUGUCAAGAGGAAGAAAAGGACAUACUCUUGUGAUAUCCCCUUUUUAGGAGGAAGAGAAUAUUUUCCAGGAGCUUCCAGCCCUUUUACAUCUCAUUGACCAGAAGACUGGGAUGGUUACAUACUCAACCUUAAAAUAAUCUUUAACAAGGGGAAGUUGAUAACCACAGACUUCAGCACUUCAAGAAGAAUCUCCAAGUAGAAUAGAAUUGCUAUGCAACAACUGCUGGUGUCUGGGUGGUGAGGGAUGGUCUGCCAUCCCAAUUGCCUUGGAGAUCUCAUCCUGGCUCUGGCCUGGUCCUUGCCCUGUGGUGGGUAGCUUGGGUGGAUUCUUUACCAGCUGAGCCACAAGGGAAGCCCAGGAAUACUGGAGUGAGAAACCUUUCCCUUCUCCAGUGGAUCUUCCCAAUCCAGGAAUUGAACUGGGGUCUCCUGCAUUGCAGGUGGAUUCUUUACCGACGGAGCUAUGAGGGAAGCCUUCUGUUAUAAAAGAUACUUCAAUUAACACCAUUGACUAAUAUUCUAGAAUAAAGCUUACUUAUCACUGUCUGAAUUUACCUUGUUUGUUUAUUCGGUUACUUGCAUGUAGCCUUACACGCCCCUGGGAUAUGGAGCAGGGGUUUGUCUCUUGUUUCUCAUUAUAACACUAGCACCCAGGACAGUGAAUAUUAUCUGCUGUUAUUACUAGGAACUCUUGACAUUUCC